CAGAUUUUUCUUACUCUGAAUGUGACUCCAUCCUUGCCAGUCAGUGUAAUUUAUGAAAGAAAGAUGUAAGAGAAGAAGAAUGUAAUCUGUAUUAUAAAGUUAAAAUCAAGUGCUCAAUUUAAAAAAAACACAUUUACUUUUAGAAAAAAAAAAAUGCCUUUAAAGUACCAAGUAUAGUGUGACGUAUGACACAAAAAAUAGUGGUCCUCGUUUUAAAGCAUGUUUUAAUUUAGAGAUACAUAUAUUCAUCUUCAUUGGUGCUAUACUAAACUAGAAUCAUUAUAUCAACUUCAUUGAUUUAUUAUUUAAUCAGGUUGGGAAUGUCUACCAUUCUUUGACUUAAAUUUGUUUAUAUUGUUUUGCGAGUUAUUCACAAAUUUUGGUGGUUUCAUUUGUGUCAGCGU
rnacentral:lncRNA from 1 species